UACGGGGGGGGCAAGCGUUGUUCGGAAUUACUGGGCGUAAAGGGCUCGUAGGUGGCCAACUAAGUCAGACGUGAAAUCCCUCGGCUUAACCGGGGAACUGCGUCUGAUACUGGAUGGCUUGAGUUUGGGAGAGGGAUGCGGAAUUCCAGGUGUAGCGGUGAAAUGCGUAGAUAUCUGGAGGAACACCGGUGGCGAAGGCGGCAUCCUGGACCAACACUGACACUGAUGAGCGAAAGCCAGGGGAGCAAACAGG
rnacentral:rRNA from 1 species